AUUGAUUUAGCUCUCACAAUGCAUUUCAGUGUUUUGUAAGGCACACAGAGUGAGUUUAUAACCGCGUUUACUUAGAGCCAAAUACACACAAUAUUACCUUGGAAUAGACACUUAGUUUAGGUUUCAAGUUUGUUUGCAAUGGGGAAAAUACCGUAUUUAUCGGCGUAUAACACGCACCUCAUUUUAAGAAGGAAAUUUCAGGGGAAAAAAACUUAAAG